rnacentral:rRNA from 1 species
CAAGACCUUGCGCUUUUGGAGCGGCCGAUGUCUGAUUAGCUAGGUGGUGAGGUAAAGGCUUACCAAGGCGUCGAUCAGUAGCUGGUCUGAGCGGACGACCAGCCACACUGGGACUGAGACACGGCCCAGACUCCUACGGGAGGCAGCAGCGGGGGAUUUUGGACAAUGGGGGAAACCCUGAUCCAGCCAUGCCGCGGGAGUGAAGAAGGCCUUCGGGUUGUAAAGCUUUUUCAGCCGGAACGAAACGGUCACGGUUAAUACCCGUGACUACUGACGGUACCGGAAGAAGAAGCACCGGCUAACUACGUGCCAGCAGCCGCGGUAAUACGUAGGGUGCGAGCGUUAAUCGGAAUUACUGGGCGUAAAGCGUGCGCAGGCGGUCUUGUAAGUCAGAUGUGAAAUCCCCGGGCUUAACCUGGGAACU